ensembl:processed_transcript RIKEN cDNA E130307A14 gene
GAGCGCGCGGCUGGGGAAGAAGCUGGCGGGAAGCCGGGCCGCGCGCCGCGCGCCGAGGAAUCGAUGAUUCGGCCUGUGGGCCGGGUCACUGCGGCGGGGCCCGGGGAGCGCCGAUAGCAUGGAUAGGCUCAGAGGGGCGCAGGGUUUUGGCGGCUUCCCAGUUCCCCUCGCCGACCGCCAUGUCACAUCUUACGGAAGAGGCGGGGGCUGCCGCGGAGAGGAUAUUUUUUUGUUUUGUUUUGUUUUCACAAGCACACAUCCUCAGAGUUUUGGAACAUACUUACAUCUCGAAGAUAGCGCUCCAUCCAUUUAAUGAUAUCAAUACCCCGGAUUCUAUCCUCAAAUAUGUCAAUCUACAAGAAAAGGAUGCACAAGAGGGCUCUUAAUGAGAGCUUUCUCCGAGUGCAGACCUCAAGAAAACACAAGAUGCUACAUACGUGUGCAACCCUAACACUAGUGCUCUGAAUAAGGAGGAACACAUGAGUCUAAACAAAGAAACAAGAGUGUGGAAUGCAUCAGUUAAAAUCUCAAGAAACCCCGAGGCAGAGGAUUAAGAGAUGCUGAAGAGAAGAUGAGCCUGUAUGCAUUUAUCUGUGCUUAGCCUGCUCCGAAUGGGAACACAGCUCUCAAAUGAAGACAAGACUGCUCACUCCUGCAGACAAUGACCUUGUUCUUGAGAGCUGCUGCUAAUUUACAGUGAGGCACUAGGUUUCUACCCAGUGCCACGUGAGCAACCAAUCCAUCUGCCUAGGGGCACGGCACUGACGAGCAGCAUCAUUUAGAAGGAAAGAAGUAUGGGCGGCGUUUGUUGUUUCCUGUGUGUUAAGGAAAAUCCA